UUGUUGGUAAGGUAAAAGCUUACCAAGGCUUCGAUCAGUAGCUGGUCUGAGAGGACGGCCAGCCACACUGGGACUGAGACACGGCCCAGACUCCUACGGGAGGCAGCAGUGGGGAAUUUUGGACAAUGGGGGCAACCCUGAUCCAGCCAUGCCGCGUGAGUGAAGAAGGCCUUCGGGUUGUAAAGCUCUUUCAGCCGGAACGAAACGGUUACGGUUAAUACCCGUGACUACUGACGGUACCGGAAGAAGAAGCACCGGCUAACUACGUGCCAGCAGCCGCGGUAAUACGUAGGGUGCGAGCGUUAAUCGGAAUUACUGGGCGUAAAGCGUGCGCAGGUGGUUUUGUAAGUCAGAUGUGAAAGCCCCGGGCUCAACCUGGGAACUGCGUUUGAAACUACAAGACUAGAGUGUGGCAGAGGGGGGUGGAAUUCCGCGUGUAGCAGUGAAAUGCGUAGAGAUGUGGAGGAACACCGAUGGCGAAGGCAGCCCCCUGGGUCAACACUGAGGCUCAGGCACGAAAGCAUGGGGAGCAAACAGGAUUAGAUACCCUGGUAGUCCAUGCCCUAAACGAUGUCAACUAGUUGUCGGGCCUUUACGGGCUUGGUAACGUAGCUAACGCGUGAAGUUGACCGCCUGGGGAGUACGAUCGCAAGAUUAAAACUCAAAUGAAUUGACGGGGACCCGCACAAGCGGUGGAUUAUGUGGAUUAAUUCGAUGCAACGCGAAAAACCUUACCUACCCUUGACAUGUAUCGAAGCCCGCAGAAAAGCGGGGGUGCCCGAAAGGGAACGAUAACACAGGUGCUGCAUGGCUGUCGUCAGCUCGUGUCGUGAGAUGUUGGGUUAAGUCCCGCAACGAGCGCAACCCUUGUCAUUAAUUGCCAUCAUUUAGUUGGGCACUUUAAUGAGACUGCCGG
rnacentral:rRNA from 1 species